AUACGCAGGGGGCGAGCGUUGUCCGGAAUGAUUGGGCGUAAAGGGCGCGUAGGCGGCCCGGUAAGUCUGGAGUGAAAGUCCUGUUUUUAAGAUGGGAAUUGCUUUGGAUACUGUCGGGCUUGAGUGCAGGAGAGGUAAGUGGAAUUCCCAGUGUAGCGGUGAAAUGCGUAGAGAUUGGGAGGAACACCAGUGGCGAAGGCGACUUACUGGACUGUAACUGACGCUGAGGCGCGAAAGUGUGGGGAGCAAACAGGAUUAGAUACCCUGGUAGUCCACACUGUAAACGAUGAAUGCUAGGUGUAAGAGGUAUCGACCCCUUUUGUGCCGGAGUCAACACAAUAAGCAUUCCGCCUGGGGAGUACGGCCGCAAGGUUGAAACUCAAAUGAAUUGACGGGG
rnacentral:rRNA from 1 species